CCUACGGGGGGCAGCAGUGGGGAAUAUUGGACAAUGGGCGAAAGCCUGAUCCAGCCAUGCCGCGUGUGUGAAGAAGGCCUUCGGGUUGUAAAGCACUUUCAGUGGGGAAGAAAGCCUUGGGGCUAAUACCCUCGAGGAAGGACAUCACCCACAGAAGAAGCACCGGCUAACUCCGUGCCAGCAGCCGCGGUAAUACGGAGGGUGCGAGCGUUAAUCGGAAUUACUGGGCGUAAAGCGCGCGUAGGCGGUCUGAUAAGCCGGUUGUGAAAGCCCCGGGCUCAACCUGGGAACGGCAUCCGGAACUGUCAGGCUAGAGUGCAGGAGAGGAAGGUAGAAGUCCCGGUGUAGCGGUGAAAUGCGUAGAGAUCGGGAGGAAUACCAGUGGCGAAGGCGGCCUUCUGGACUGACACUGACGCUGAGGUGCGAAAGCGUGGGUAGCAAACAGGAUUAGAUACCCCUGUAGUC
rnacentral:rRNA from 1 species